rnacentral:lncRNA from 1 species
AAAAAUUAUUUGCUGAGAAGGAAAUAAAGAUAUAAAAUUCCUACCAAAAUAACUGGACGUUCCAACCAAUAAAAACCCUAAUGAACCUAAAAAAAGAAUAAAGGCCAAGCAGAAAUUACUUGUUUUUCGAGACCCUGCUAUAAGUUCUAUCCAUAUACGUUCUGAUCUCCGACUCAUACUAUAACUAGACCUAGUUGCAUUUUAUUGGAAUUGGGAGAAUAACAAAAAUAAAUUUUAUUUUACUUUUUUUGUUUCCGAAGUAACUCGCAUCAACCAGCACUAUUAUGAUGUGAACGUUUAGGGGUAAUUCAUCGAAUUUCUUAGAUCCAAACUAAAAUAGUAACAUCCCUUUCACAUGAUUUCCGAAUACAUAUAGAUAUAUUGACUUUACAUUUAAGAAAUUCCCCCCGAUCCCGAUCUAUUUGAAAAUAGUUAUAAUUCAUUUACCCAUAAUAUCAUGUUUAUACAUAAGAGCUUAUGCCCGAAGGAAGCCACAUGUUAUACCAUAUUCUACUAAAUAGAUAUCCGUGUUAUGAUCCAAGUAAGUCUUGAAAAAAAAAAAAAAAGAUUCGUCCUUAUUGUAUCUAAAAAAUCUUGUUUUUUUGAACAUAAAGAGAUAAAGAAGCCAUUGCAAUUGCCGGAAAUACUAAGCCCACUAAAGGCACAAAAAUUGAGGGGAAGCUGUUGAGAGUUAUCAUAGAAUGGGUACCUCGAUUUAAUAUUUGUACCUGUUAUUU